AUUGAACGCUGGCGGCAGGCCUAACACAUGCAAGUCGAGCGGAGCGGCGGACGGGUGAGUAAUGCCUAGGAAUCUGCCUGGUAGUGGGGGAUAACGUCCGGAAACGGGCGCUAAUACCGCAUACUAUCAGAUGAGCCUAGGUCGGAUUAGCUAGUUGGGGGGGUAAAGGCCUACCAAGGCGACGAUCCGUAACUGGUCUGAGAGGAUGAUCAGUCACACUGUAACGGCGACACGGCCCAGCGUCGUACGGGAGGGGGAAGUGGGGAAAAUUGGGAAAUGGGCGAAGGCCAGAUGCAGCGGCGCCGCGUGGGGGAUGAAGGCGUUCGGGUUGUAAAACUCUUUCGCUAUCGAACGGGUAGGUGGAGAAGAAGCGCCGGCUAACUACGUGCCAGCAGCCGCGGUAAUUC
rnacentral:rRNA from 1 species